AUUGAACGCUGGCGGCAGGCCUAACACAUGCAAGUCGAACGAGUGGCGGACGGGUGAGUAAUGUCUGGGAAACUGCCUGAUGGAGGGGGAUAACUACUGGAAACGGUAGCUAAUACCGCAUACCAUCAGAUGUGCCCAGAUGGGAUUAGCUGGUUGGUGGGGUAACGGCUCACCAAGGCGACGAUCCCUAGCUGGUCUGAGGGGAUGACCGGCCACACGGGAACUGGGACAGGGUCCAAAUUCCUAGGGGGGGCGGAGGUGGGAAAUAUUGCACAAGGGGCGCAAGCCUGAUGCAGCCAUGCCGCGUGUAUGAAGAGGGCCUUCGGGUUGUAAAGUACUUUCAGCGGGGAGGCGUUACCCGCAGAAGAAGCACCGGCUAACUCCGUGCCAGCAGCCGCGUAAUAC
rnacentral:rRNA from 1 species